rnacentral:lncRNA from 1 species
UAGAAUUCCUAGCACGUCACUGUUGUAGUGAGGAUGAGGAGUGCCAGAUGAUGUGUGAAGAAACCUUUUGGAAUCUGUUGGACAACAGGUGGAUGGUUUGUGAUUUUAUCUUCUUUUGACCAUCAUGAUGGUUGAGUGAAGGUGAGACAGAGUUGCUAUGCUGGAAACUGACUUUGGUAUGCGUCUCUUUUAUCUGGGGCACGGAGUGCUGAUCUGCGUCUGACCAGUAGUUACUAUGAGCUGUGUGUGGCCUGUGUGGUAAUUUCAACGGUAACGGUGGAGAUGAGCUGAGAGACCCUGCUGGAAACCUUCUGCCCAGUCUGUACCAGAGGGCAAAGAGCUGGAGAGCAGAAGACAGUAUCACCUCAGUGUGUCAUGAUGCAUACGAGACCGACUGCUCUGCUUGCCCUCCUGAUCAACGUGCCCUCUACGAAACAGACAUUUCUGUGGUGUCCUGACAUAUAUAGGCCAGAAUGUGUUUAGUGCAUGUCAUGCUAAAGUGUACCCACAGGUGUUCCAGCAAAGCUGUGUGUACGAUCUCUUCUUCAAUUACGGAGACCGAAAACUUCUCUGUCAGGCUCUGGAGACAUACGUCCAACAGUGUCUUCAAGAGGGUGUCGUUAUUACAGAUUGGAGAGAAAGAUUUAAUUGAUCUAUGAGUUGCCCACCCAACAGUCAUUAUGAGGCCUGUCCGUCUUCGUGUCCAGCAACGUGUCCAUACCCAAAUCAGCAGCCGAAUUGCACUGAUACCUGUGUGGAAGCCUAUUAUGCAUGUGAUAGAGCUGGAGGAGGGUUGGUGAAUUUUUCUGUGUACACACAGAAUGAGCAGGUUAGAAACACAAGGGUUUCGAACAUCAAGAAUUUGACUGUGACCAUCUACAACCUGAUAAUGAGCAUCAGACGAGGUGAACUCUCGAGAGUCGUCGUAAGUCUUCAUCUAGUUUGGCCUUGUUUUUGUUUUCUGUCUUCUUAUUUAGCCAGAAUGCACUGAAAUUGACAAAAAUGGACAGUAAAGUAUAAUGUCGUUGUGGAAGGUUUCCAUUACAGAUAAAUGCUGUGUUUCUU